UCUCUCCAACUGGUUCAACUUCAGCAUAGGCAGGAUGACCCGAACCUCUUCGAAACUUCAUCGCAGGCCAUCUGCUUGGGCGUCUCUGAAACAGAAAAUGCAAAAAUAAUGACUGCCAGGGUGACGGUCAUAUAAUUAAAGAACAUAUCUGCCUUCAUCUACUUGUUUGGAAGAGAGAGAAAUGAAGUUAAAACAAAGAGAGGGCUAAAUAGCAAAUAGUGUGUCUUUGGUGGAACUAAAGCUCAUCAUGGAUGGAAAUACACUGACCAUGUUUAGGGAGCAGGACACUAUAACGCAUGAUCGUUCCUGUCAGUGGAAAAAGGCCGGACUGCCACUGUGCUCACUAUUUGGAACUUCCACUUCGGUUUCAGUUACUUCUCAUUUGGACUUUUGAAGGCAGAGCUGCCCUAGUCCUUCUCUGAGUCAAGUAGCACCACCAAAUCUUUGCACUGAAUCUCCACCUUGCCUGCCGUCCAGCUGGCAAGUAUGGCCCUGGGAAGUAGCCCUAACUGACAACGCAGCACAUAAAGACAUGGUGCUGUCAGGGACUUAAAAAGGUGCACAGAUUAUCAUUGUAAGGGACAACAGGUGCUGCCGAGGAUAUGGUGAAAAGGGAAGCCUCAUUCACUGUUGGUGGGAAUGUAGAUUAGUCCAGCGACUAUGGGAAACAUGUGGAGGCUCGUCACAAAGUUAAAAACAGAUCUGCCAUAUGAUCCAGCAGUUCUAAUUCUGGGCAUAUGCCCAAGGGAAAUGAAAACGAAUUUGCUGAGAUCUUUGCACCCCCUGCCCCGUGUUUAUCGCAGCAUUAGACACAGCAUUCUUCACAAUAGCUAAGAUGUGGAAACAACCCAAAUGCCAAUCAAUGGAUUAUUUCUGUCGAAAGAAAUAAAAGAGCUGUACAAUGGAAAGUUACUCAGCCAUGAAAAAGGAGGAUAUUCUGCCAUUUGCAACAAUAUGGCCGGACCUUGAGCAUAUUAUACUAAGCGAGAUAAGUCAGAGAAAGACAAGUACUAUAUGAUAGCACUUAUAUGUACAAUCUAAAAGGUCAAACAUGUUUUUUAAAAAAAUGGUGGUUAACAGGAGAUGGGGGCUGGAGGGAUAAAAUGAAUGGUGUUUCAGGAUACAGACACAAAAUGAGUAUUGAGCCACAGAGAUCUAAUGUACAGUAUAUUGAAUAUAGACAGUACUAUUGUACAAUAAGUAUAUAAAGUGAUAAUGUUGCAACCUUAUUAUAUCAAUGUAUCAAAGUAAUGUGUGUAUAACUUAAAUUUAUACAGGGUUACAGGUCAAAUUUAUCCAAUUAAAGCAUUUGUUUCAAAUAAAAAGGAGCAUAAUUGAUGAGAAUAUUGCUGUUGCUGCUACAUGUGAAAGUUGUAUUUUAUUAAGCUCUUAGCUGUAUUUCAUGUUUUAUACCAGGCGCUUUACAUAUAUAAUCCCAUUAAAAUGCACAAGCCAAUCAUUUACAUUUUGCACAAACCCAUAAAGCUAACAAGUGGCAGAGCCAAGAUUUAAAAUGAGAUCUACUUACUUCCAAAGUUAAUUCUCCUUACUAUAAAAAUUGGUUCUUAAAAUUCUGUGGUUUGUGUACGACUCUUGAAAUUUGUGAACAUGGUUCUAAUUUUAUUUCAGUCUUAAAAAUACAACUAGCAACUUCAGUUAUCUGUUAGUAAGUCAGAAUUACUAACUAAUAAUUUUCUGUCUUAGAUGAAAGAUUGGCGGAUUACUGGUAAUGUUUAUCAUGGAUUUUGUGAGCUCAUAGCAGAGGUACUCAAAAUAGAAAGUACAAAAAUGUUGGGUAGUGAAGCUUUCUAACAAGAUACAAAUUUAUUUUCUGAAUUAACUGCAUAUCCUUAAGGAAAAUAUCUCUUGAUUUAUUACUACUUAUUGUAGGAAAAAAAAAAAUACCCCAAGAUUUAAAAUGACUAGAGACCUCGUCAUUUACACAUACUUUGGUUCAGCUAUCAGUGGACAUCACUCAUAUACAUUUCUAGGAACAUUAAAUCACUGUAUAUACUGCUUUAUAAAUUCUUUUUUUUUUUUUUUGCACUUAAGGACACAGUGAAAAAAUUUAUGAACUAUCUCUGUACAAAAUUAUUUUAAAUAUUUUUUUUUAAAUGUCUUCAUAAUUAAAUCGUGAUUUAUAUAGA